rnacentral:rRNA from 1 species
GAUGAACGCCGGCGGCGUGCUUAACACAUGCAAGUCGAACGGUGAAGCAGGAGCUUGCUCUUGUGGAUCAGUGGCGAACGGGUGAGUAACACGUGAGCAACCUGCCCCUGACUCUGGGAUAAGCGCUGGAAACGGCGUCUAAUACUGGAUAUGUGAUGUGACCGCCUGGUCUGCAUCUGGAAAGAAUUUCGGUUGGGGAUGGGCUCGCGGCCUAUCAGCUUGUUGGUGAGGUAAUGGCUCACCAAGGCGUCGACGGGUAGCCGGCCUGAGAGGGUGACCGGCCACACUGGGACUGGGACACGGCCCAGACUCCUACGGGAGGCAGCAGUGGGGAAUAUUGCACAAUGGGCGGAAGCCUGAUGCAGCAACGCCGCGUGAGGGAUGACGGCCUUCGGGUUGUAAACCUCUUUUAGCAGGGAAGAAGCGAAAGUGACGGUACCUGCAGAAAAAGCACCGGCUAACUACGUGCCAGCCGCCGCAGUAA